GUGAAAGAGCUAGUACCAGAGGUGGGAAUUAACUCCUUAGUAACAAAGAAUGAUGGGACAGUUAAUAAGGUGCUUGAAAGAAAACGUGUCCUCUCUCUUCGGAUUAAGAAAGAGGAGAUUCUAAUGAUCUAUCUAAUGUGCUGCUGUGUUGCUACACAAAUACCACCAUAAUUUGGAACCUUCUCUGAAUUCCCCUGACAUGAGGAAAAUUCAAUUUUGCUUCUCUUUCCAGCCACUUAAUCCAGAUUUUAUCCUGGAGAAGAGAAGAAAAUCUAACAAUGCUAGCCUGGAUUAUAUGAAACAUGUCCUGAAGUAACCGAAGUGAUCAUGUUAAAUCUCUUGUAGAGAAUCCAAAGCAUAGAACAGGGGCAGAAAAGAGCUGGUUCUCCCUUUGUCAUGGAUAUGGUCUGGGCCCUGGGUGGUACUUCCUGUCAGCAAAUGCACGUGAAGAGGAAGCCUGCGUGGGAGACUGACAUGGCAGAGUUUCAAAUGGAAAAUAAGAAAGCAAAAGAAAAUGGCCAUCUUCAUAAUCAUUUCUGUUUUCCAACAUUCAAGUUUCAUGAAACCUAGUUGCACAACAUGAAGACUGGAGAGAAAAGUCUCUAAUGCAUUGGAAAGCAAAAAAAUCACCAGGUUUCUUAAGGAAAAAUAAGAAGGGCAAAUUCUGAUACCAGAAAAAAACUGGAUUAUUGAAAGAGGACAGUAGAAAUAAUAGGCCUUCUGAAAGAAAAGUGAAACAACGACCUUGACAACAGCAGUUUCUGAAACGGACGCUGCAGUGACCUUGGGCGGCGCGGGAAGGACGCUUGGCGCCGGGCAGAGACAAGAUGGCGGAGCAGGCCGCAAGGCCAGGCCCAGCAGCUCCUUGGUACUGGGCUUCCGAGGCGGAAGACGGCUCCUCCGCGAGGUGAGUGUCCAGGGAACCUCACAGACACAUUAGAACACUGAAUUGAAAAACAAACAGAAUUCCUAGAGCUGCAGAGAGUCGUAACUAGAGCAUCAGAAAUAACAGCUCAGAGCGGCGCCAGCUGGGCCGCCAUGGCGGGAGCGGGAGCGCGGACCAGAGAGACGCGGGGCCCGUGGGUGAAGAAAAUGAAAAAUAGACAAAACCCGACACAGGGAGACCUGUGGAUUCCAGAAGAAGGCCGAUUUUAAUGAACGCAGAGUUAGUAGGGCAAGCCAUCUGCUGGGGUGAAAGCCUUGCGGGCGGCGGGCCUGAGCCCUCUGGAGGGCAGAGCGCUGGCAGGUGAGGAGCCGGUUCCAGGGGCAGAAGCUGCACAAGUGUGAACAGAGAGGGGAUGGGAGGGUGUGGGGUUGUG